UUUCAAAACAGUUCUAGUAAGCAGAUCAAGCUUUAUAAUCAGCUUAAAGAUACCUACAAAUCCGUUGUUAGUGAAAAUCAGCGGCUUCUCACAGAAAGGCAAAAGCUGAAAAGUUUAUGUAAUAACACGAAAAAAAUGUUAGCUAACGUAAAGAGUGAUUUUAAGAUAGCAUUUGAGAAAGAAAGUUCCAAUCUUGAAACUCGGAUGGAGUCCCACUUUUGUAAAUUCCAAGCCGAUUUAGAUGUACCUUUAAGGAAGUUGUUGUCUAUUGAGGGUAAAGUGUCGGAGUUGAGGAAAAAAUGCCAGCGUAAAAUUGCUGCUUCUCUCCCUUCCGGGAGAUCUAUUGGUUCUACGCCUCAACUUUAUCCACAACGGGAACCUUAUAAAAACCGCACUCAUUAUACACCUGCUUCAUUUGGAUUUUUCUCGCCCACUACUCUUCCCUUCACACCCAUCAAACCUGCGGAGGUUACCCCGGCUUUGGUUUCUCAAGAAAAUGAAGCACUAACCGACUUGUUUCGAUUAGAACAAAAAAAUCUUGAAACUCUUUUAGACAAUCAAAUUUAUAUGUUUUCUGAAAAACUAAAUGAGACUGGUGAAUUUUAUUA